UUCCGGUUGAUCCUGCCGGAGGCCAUUGCUAUCGGAGUUCGAUUUAGCCAUGCUAGUCGCACGAGUUCAGACUCGUGGCAGAUAGCUCAGUGACACGUGGCCAAACUACCCUCUGGAUCAGCAUAACCUCGGGAAACUGAGGCUAAUUCUGAAUACCGCUCUCUGCCUGGAACGGCUCGAGCUGGAAAUGCUACGGCGCCAGAGGAUGUGGCUGCGGCCGAUUAGGUAGACGGUGGGGUAACGGCCCACCGUGCCCAUAAUCGGUACGGGUUGUGAGAGCAAGAACCCGGAGACGGUAUCUGAGACAAGAUACCGGGCCCUACGGGGCGCAGCAGGCGCGAAAACUUUACACUGCACGACAGUGCGAUAAGGGAACUCCGAGUGCGAGGGCAUAUAGUCCUCGCUUUUCCGCACCGUAAGGUGGUGCAGGAAUAAGAGCUGGGCAAGACCGGUGUCAGCCGCCGCGGUAACACCGGCAGCUCGAGUGAUGGCCGAUAUUAUUGGGCCUAAAGCGUCCGUAGCUGGUCGCGAAAGUCCGUUGGGAAAUCUGCGUGCUCAACGCGCAGGCGUCCGGCGGAAACUACGUGACUAGGGACCGAGAGACCCGAGGGGUACGUCUGGGGUAGGAGUGAAAUCCCGUAAUCCUGGACGGACCACCGAUAGCGAAAGCACCUCGGGAGAUCGGAUCCGACAGUGAGGGACGAAAGCUAGGGUCACGAACCGGAUUAGAUACCCGGGUAGUCCUAGCUGUAAACGAUGCCCGUUAGGUGUGGCGCGGACUACGAGUUCGUGCCAUGCCGCAGUGAAGACGAUAAACGGGCCGCCUGGGAAGUACGUCUGCAAGGAUGAAACUUAAAGGAAUUGGCGGG
rnacentral:rRNA from 1 species